GCGCGGGGACUGACCCCGGGGGUGCAGCCUCUGAGCCGCGCUGAGCCCGCGGACCCAGCCCGUGGGGAAGCCGCUGGGGACUCUGUCUGCAGAUGUCUCCAUAAGUUACCGGCUGUCUGCAGAGUGGCUGUGAGAGACAGAUACCCGCUCCUGGGAUCAUCUCUGCCCCAUCUGAAGACUGUGCAGCGGUGGGCUCGGGGCUGGUGUGUAGAGACCCAGCACCAACACAGCCCAGGGAUUCACCUGGACUAGGAGGUGCAAUUAUUUUUAAGCUACUGCCUGCUCACUUAAAGAGGUUUCACAGAAGGACCAAGUGUACAAAUGGACACUCUUGCUGUCCAUAUGGAUUCCACACUCACCAGAACAGGCUGGCUUGGAAAAGAGGCUGAUGCAGGUUCCUCCAUGGCUGCAGAGUUGUCCUGCUGACCCCACUCCUGAUGUGCAGACAGCCCGUGGAUUGCUGGAAAAUGCAGUGAGUUCUGCC